GACGAACGCUGGCGGCGUGCCUAAUACAUGCAAGUAGAACGCAGUUGCGCACGGGUGAGUAACGCGUAGGUAACUGCCUCAUAGCGGGGGAUAACUAUUGGAAACGAGAGCUAAUACCGGAUACUGUGAGAUGGACCUGCGUUGUAUUAGCUAGUUGGUGAGGUAAAGGCUCACCAAGGCGACGAUACAUAGCCGACCUGAGAGGGUGAUCGGCCACACUGGGACUGCGACCCGGCCCAGACUCCUUCGGGUGGCCGCCGUAGGGAAUCGUCGGCAAUGGACCGAAGUCCGACCGAGCAACGCCGCGUUAGUGAAGAAGGUUUUCGGGUCGUUAAGCUCUGUUGUUAGAGAAGCGGUACCUAACCAGAAAGCGCCGGCUAACUACGUGCCAGCAGCCGCGGUAAUUC
rnacentral:rRNA from 1 species